rnacentral:rRNA from 1 species
GCUCCUACGGGACGCAGCAGUGAGGGAUAUUGGUCAAUGGGGGAAACCAUGAACCAGCAACGCCGCGUGAGGGAAGACGGUUUUCGGAUUGUAAACCUCUGUCCUCUGUGAAGAUAAUGACGGUAGCAGAGGAGGAAGCUCCGGCUAACUACGUGCCAGCAGCCGCGGUAAUACGUAGGGAGCGACCGUUGUCCGGAUUUACUGGGUGUAAAGGUUGCGUAGGCGGGUAAGCAAGUCAGAAGUGGAAUCCACGGGCUUAACCCAUGAACU